rnacentral:rRNA from 1 species
AGCAGUCGCCACGGGAAUACGUAGGGGGCAAGCGUUGUCCGGAAUUAUUGGGCGUAAAGCGCGCGCAGGCGGUUUUUUAAGUCUGGUGUCUAAGUGCGGGGCUCAACCCCGUGACGCACUGGAAACUGGGAGACUUGAGUGCAGAAGAGGAGAGCGGAAUUCCACGUGUAGCGGUGAAAUUCGUAGAUAUUCGGAAGAACACCAGUGGCGAAGGCGGCUCACUGGACUGGUAUUGACGCUGAGGUGCGAAAGCGUGGGGAGCAAACAGGAUUAGAUACCCCCGUAGUCCCUGUCUCUUAUACA